UAAGUGACUAAUAAUACACUUAUUUUCUCACUAGUAUCUACAUACACUUAAUGGGCUGUUAGAACAGCACUAUUCAUAAGAGAAAUUGCAUCUUGGCCAUUCAUUCUCUUUGAUCCUACGGUUCAUGUUUUUUCUUGAUCAGUUUUUGUUUUGCAAUUUUGUUUUCGUUGGAUUCUCUCUUUUUGUUCUCCAGCUGUUGUUGUCUGCCCAUUACUUGUACUUGUGUGUAUUUUUUUUAUCUGUUCCAGCUGUUGUCGGCCCAGCUCCACUAUUCACCCAUCAUCUAGGUUUUUCCUUGUGCUUCUGAACGGUUCAAUCAUGCUGAACGAGUACAGUGUAUUACAGUCGUUUUCCUCUUCAAUUUUCGUACUUCUGAGUAUCUCACCUUCUGCGUUGGAGAAGGUUUGGUGGAAGGUGAAGACUGGGGUUUCGGUUUGAUUUCUCUUUCAUUCCGUCAUGUCGCUUCCAACACAGCUCAGCCAUUCUCAACCAUCUCUGUCAUCUCGCAUCAUCAACACAACCCAAAGAACUGUUCAUGUGGUGGUUAGGUUUUUAUUUCCUUCUGCACGCCACCUUCAUCUCCCUGGCACCGCCGAUCAACCAUGGUGACGGAGAAUAGCAUCAUCUUCUCUGAUUUUUCGUCAGUGUUUAGGUGAGUUUCAGAAAGAGAUGGGAAAAUUGCAUCAGAUGAAGGUGGAAGGAUGCACUGUUUCGUGUUAGGUGAGGGUCAGAAUGAGAAGCCAAGGUCAUGGCAGAUCUCUUCCCUGGAUACAGUUCAUCGUUGUACGUUGAGCAUUGUAUUGGACGAAAUGGUGGAGCCAAUUGUGUAACAACAGGUAAUGUGGUUAUUCAAAAUGUCCUGAAUACCACAAAGGUCUUAUGGAAUGCUGACAUCCAGGAGGUAGCUUCCUUUCAUAACACCAUGGUUAUAGGCUGUGGCUGAAGCAAGUCUGGUGCUAGAUCGAAUCUGUCAUAGAGGCAAAUAAGCAUCAGGCUUGAGCUACUGCCUCCACUGUGUGCCUUUCGUUUUAAAAGCAUACUGCCCUUGCCUGCUUGUGCUCCUUGCUGCUGCCUCCACUGUGUGUUCCUCGCUGCUAUUUUGUGUUGGUGCCUUUGCUGUCCUGUUUUCUGAGAAUGAUACAAGAAGGCAUUAAAUGAUCAUGGACAGAGAGAGUGGGAAGAAGUGCUACAUGCUUGCUGCUAGAGCUCUGCCCAUUGCUUGGACAACAGGCUGUUAUGUUAAGUAACAACAUGCUUGCUUCCAGGGUCACCAUUUCAAUUGGCUUCCAGCUUUGUCUGUCUCCGUGAAGAACCUAUUAUGGUUAAGCUAAGAACACAUUUAGGGGGUUACACUCAAUUCCAUUGCCCUGUAUAUGUUUGAGCUUUGUUUGCUCUAUUUUGAAUCUCCUUUUUGUGUACUGCUUUAACUUUUAACCUUAAUAUGUAACAAGACUAUUGGUUUCAUUUAUGGUAAUCUUAUGAAUUUCACCCACUUAAUGUGUACAAGGAUCUUCUAGGUCUUGGUCUCUAUUAGUGUUCAAUCAGAUCUUUUUGGAUGUUGUAGUUACGAUUUUAACUUUUCAUCAUAUACAUUCCUAAUGGUUCAUGUGUACAAGGAUCUUCUAGGUCUUGGUCUCUAUUAGUGUUCAAUCAGAUCUUUUUGGAUGUUGUAGUUACGAUUUUAACUUUUCAUCAUAUACAUUCCUAAUGGUUCAAUAUAUAUAUAUAUAUAUAUAUUAUAUCCUAAAUUGGAGAUCAGAAAUGGUACUUAACAAUUAAAUGGUAUAAACUCAAAGGGGCGUUAACCUUUGUGCCAGUGCAUUUCAAUCCCGAACAAGGAUAUUCAUGAUCUUUUGAUAGAUGGUCUUAAAUCAGUUUCUUAUAUGUGUAUGCUUUAGCAGCAAGCUAUUAUACCGAUUAUUUUAUUAACUAUCCAUUUUAUUUUAAAAAUUAGCAUAUAUCAAUCACGAAGCAUAUAUGCAUGCAUUUAUACAAGCUAUAUGCAGUGUUCCGGGCCAACCCAUGGUUAAUGUCUUCAUUGCACUGUUGUUUCAUUCAUGAGUGUGUUUGUUUUCUUUAUUUGAUUUCUUUUAUUUUGAAGUGAUAUCUAAGUGUGAUUUUUUUUUUCAUUCAUGCAGUGUUGUUUUGGAGUGAUUAGCAGAACUGCACCUUGCAUCUGAUCCUGGUAUGUUAUAGAGGCUUGGACAAUAACUUGCUAAUAUCAUUUCCUACUUCCUGAAGAGAAUAGAGGCCAGGCCCCCCUCCAUCCAUACAACAUGGACAAGUUGUGCCUCUGCGGAAAAAUAGAGGCUAGACCUGGUCGUGAAGUAUGAGGUCCUUGGAGAUUGGCUCUAUUAGCACAGAUACUGUGGUAUGCAUCUUGAAAUUGAAUGAAAGAAAACAACCAGACUAUCUUAUUCCUUUCUCUGAUACACCUUCUUGAUAGGUGGCCUAAAUCUGAUUCCAUCAAGAAGAUGCACCAUUCAUAUUCAAAUCAAUGAAUAAAAUUUGAAGCUAAUAAGAUGUACCACUCUUCUGAGUUGAAGUUUCUUCCCCUCUUUUUCUCUGUUAAGUCAAUGUGAUGAAGCUGGUUGUUGUGCGCUAGGAGUUACACCCUAAAUCGGAAAGCCAGCUAUUAAUUUUGCUUUCCAGCCUGUUUGAGCUACUCCCUAUCUCAGAAAUCCAACUGCUCAAAGUGCGUUCUAGGAUGAAUGACUGAAGGGUUGAUUUUGCUGAUGAAAGAACUCCACCAUAAUUGACUCUGACAGACAUCAGAGAGUUUCAAGAGGCUUGUGGCUGAAUUGAAGAAGACCCCUCUGGAAAUCUUGGAUGCUAUGAAGAACCAAAUAUUGUAAAAUUGUUAUUAUAUAAUAAUUAUAGUAAAAUUGUAAAAACUCAAUCUGUACAUGUGUUCCAUAUACACUAAGGUUAAUAAUUAGUUUAUUAUCACCUAUUUAUGGACAAAGUUAAUAAAUUUGUUCAUUUUAGAUAA